GGCGGACUAGCGUAAUGGUUAACGCGCCAGUUUCCGGUCUAUUUAGUGCCAAAUCUGAGCUGGAGAUUGAGGGUUCGAGUCCCUCGUUCGUCG